AUACGGAGGAUCCGAGCGUUAUCCGGAUUUAUUGGGUUUAAAGGGUGCGCAGGCGGCCAUUUAAGUCAGCGGUUAAAUCGUGGGGCUCAACCCCAUUCUGCCGUUGAUACUGGGUGGCUUGAUUGCGGUCGAGGUUGGCGGAAUUCGUUGUGUAGCGGUGAAAUGCAUAGAUAUGACGAAGAACAACGAUUGCGUAGGCAGCUGACCAGACCGCAAAUGACGCUCAUGCACGAAAGUGCGGGGAUCGAACAGGAUUAGAUACCCUGGUAGUCCGCACAGUAAACGAUGAAUACUUGUUUUCGGCGAUAUAAUGUCGGAGGCAAAGCGAAAGCGAUAAGUAUUCCACCUGGGGAGUACGCCGGCAACGGUGAAACUCAAAGGAAUUGACGGGG
rnacentral:rRNA from 1 species